AUUGAACGCUGGCGGCAUGCCUUACACAUGCAAGUCGAACGGCAGCACGGGAGCAAUCCUGGUGGCGAGUGGCGAACGGGUGAGUAAUAUAUCGGAACGUGCCCAGUCGUGGGGGAUAACGUAGCGAAAGCUACGCUAAUACCGCAUACGAUCUAUGAAUGAAAGCGGGGGAUCGCAAGACCUCGCGCGAUUGGAGCGGCCGAUAUCAGAUUAGGUAGUUGGUGAGGUAAAGGCUCACCAAGCCGACGAUCUGUAGCUGGUCUGAGAGGACGACCAGCCACACUGGGACUGAGACACGGCCCAGACUCCUACGGGAGGCAGCAGUGGGGAAUUUUGGACAAUGGGCGCAAGCCUGAUCCAGCAAUGCCGCGUGCAGGAUGAAGGCCUUCGGGUUGUAAACUGCUUUUGUACGGAGCGAAACGGCUUCCACUAAUACUGGGGGCUAAUGACGGUACCGUAAGAAUAAGCACCGGCUAACUACGUGCCAGCAGCCGCAGUAAAAC
rnacentral:rRNA from 1 species